CGAUACGAGUUUGAUCAUGGCUCAGGACGAACGCUGGCGGCAAGCUUAACACAUGCAAGUCGAACGCCCUCUUCGGAGGGAGUGGCAGACGGGUGAGUAACGCGUGGGAACGUGCCUUUUGGUUCGGAACAACUGAGGGAAACUUCAGCUAAAACCGGAUAAGCCCUUCGGGGAAAGUUUACGCCAAAAGAUCGGCCCGCGUUAGAUUAGCUAGUUGGUGGGGUAAUGGCCUACCAAGGCGACGAUCUAUAGCUGUUCUGAGAGGAAGAUCAGCCACACUGGGACUGAGACACGGCCCAGACUCCUACGGGAGGCAGCAGUGGGGAAUAUUGGACAAUGGGCGCAAGCCUGAUCCAGCUAUGCCGCGUGGAUGAAGAAGGCCCUAGGGUUGUAAAGUCCUUUCGCUAGGGAAGAUAAUGACGGUACCUAGUAAAGAAGACCCCGGCUAAUUUCGUG
rnacentral:rRNA from 1 species